CCCUUAGAUGUUCUGGGCCGCACGCGCGCUACACUGACGCAUUCAACGAGUCUCCUUGGCCGAGAGGCCUGGGUAAUCUUGUGAACGUGCGUCGUGAUAGGGAUAGAUUAUUGCAAUUAUUAAUCUUGAACGGGGAAUUCCUAGUAAACGCAGAUCAUCAAUCUGCAUUGAUUACGUCCCUGCCCUUUGUACACACCGCCCGUCGCACCUACCGAUUGGAUGGUCCGGUGAGGCCUCGGGAUUGUGGCCGGUGCAUUCAUUUGUGUCGGUUGCGAGAACUUGUCCAAACCUUAUCAUCUAGAGGAAGGUGAAGUCGUAACA
rnacentral:rRNA from 1 species